UAGGUGUUGUUUACCUGUAGGUGAUGUUUACAUGUAGGUGUUGUUUACCUGUAGCUGUUGUUUACAUGUAGCUGUUGUUUACAUGUAGGUGUUGUUUACAUGUAGUUGAUGUUUACCUGUAGGUGUUGUUUACCUGUAGGUGAUGUUUACAUGUAGCUGUUGUUUACCUGUAGGUGAUGUUUACAUGUAGGUGUUGUUUACCUGUAGCUGUUGUUUACAUGUAGCUGUUGUUUACAUGUAGCU